AGUGAACGCUGGCGGUAGGCCUAACACAUGCAAGUCGAACGGCAGCACAGUAAGAGCUUGCUCUUACGGGUGGCGAGUGGCGGACGGGUGAGGAAUACAUCGGAAUCUACUUUUUCGUGGGGGAUAACGUAGGGAAACUUACGCUAAUACCGCAUAUGACCUACGGGUGAAAGCAGGGGAUCUUCGGACCUUGCGCGAUUGAAUGAGCCGAUGUCGGAUUAGCUAGUUGGCGGGGUAAAGGCCCACCAAGGCGACGAUCCGUAGCUGAUCUGAGAGGAUGAUCGGCCACACUGGAACUGAGACACGGUCCAGACUCCUACGGGAGGCAGCAGUGGGGAAUAUUGGGCAAUGGGCGCAAGCCUGAUGCAGCCAUGCCGCGUGGGUGAAGAAGGCCUUCGGGUUGUAAAGCCCUGUUGUUGGGAAAGAAAAGCUGCAGAUUUAUACCCCGCUGUUCUGACGGUACCCAAAGAGUAAGCACCGGCUAACUUCGUG
rnacentral:rRNA from 1 species